UCCCUGGAGGACUAGUGGUUAGGCCACAGCGCUAUCACCACCGUGGCCCGGGUCCGAUUCCCUGCCAAGGAA